rnacentral:rRNA from 1 species
GAUGAACGCUGACAGAAUGCUUAACACAUGCAAGUCUACUUGAACUUCGGUUUGGGUGGCGGACGGGUGAGUAACGCGUAAAGAACUUGCCUCACAGUUAGGGACAACAUUUGGAAACGAAUGCUAAUACCUGAUAUUAUGAUUUUAGGGCAUCCUAGGAUUAUGAAAGCUAUAUGUGCUGUGAGAGAGCUUUGCGUCCCAUCAGCUAGUUGGAGAGGUAACGGCUCACCAAGGCGAUGAUGGGUAGCCGGCCUGAGAGGGUGAACGGCCACAAGGGGACUGAGACACGGCCCUUACUCCUACGGGAGGCAGCAGUGGGGAAUAUUGGACAAUGGACCAAAAGUCUGAUCCAGCAAUUCUGUGUGCACGAUGACGUUUUUCGGAAUGUAAAGUGCUUUCAGUUGGGAAGAAAAAAAUGACGGUACCAACAGAAGAAGUGACGGCUAAAUACGUG